rnacentral:lncRNA from 1 species
CUGCUAUGUUCCUUGUUCACUGUGUAGUUUAUUGCUUAUUUCUACAGGCCGGCUCUGCAGAUGUCACGUCUGGUUAUGCGACAGCAACAUCAGUCAGAAGGUGGCACAGUUCAUGAACAGCUUCUCACGGGAGCUUUGCGAGCCUCACUGUUGCAACGAUGUGAACCUGGUCUCUCUUGGAAAGAUGCUUGCAGAUCCCGGGAAGGCUUACUUGAGAACAACUGUCCACAGACAAUUCAUUAUUGCUGUCUUUUUUUCUUCUAAAAGACACAGGAAAAUAUUGAAACCUUUGGUGCCUGUGAGGGGGUUUUCAGGUGUACAAAGGGUCUCCACAAACGAUGCACGUCACCUUCGAGGGGGUGGUCACCUGUGGGGAGACGUGGAGAAGAACGGCAUCAGUGAGAGUGGAAGAGAAGCUUCAGCUGUACCUGUAACAUUUUAUUCUUUAAAAAACAAAGGUGAAGCAAAUAUUGCAAAAUUACGGUAACAUUUUAAAACUGGAUGGUGGACAUAUA